rnacentral:rRNA from 1 species
GACGAACGCUGGCGGCGCGCCUAACACAUGCAAGUCGAACGAGCGAGAGAGAGCUUGCUUUCAUGAGCGAGUGGCGAACGGGUGAGUAACGCGUGAGGAACCUGCCUCAAAGAGGGGGACACAAGUUGGAAAAGACUGCUAAUACCGCAUAAGCCCACGACCCGGCCUCGGGUUGAGGGAAAAGGAGCCAUCCGCUUUGAGAGGGCCUCGCGUCCGAUUAGCUUGGUGGUUAGGUAACGGCCCACCAAGGCGACGAGCGGUAGCCGGACUGAGAGGUUGAACGGCCACAUUGGGACUGGGACACGGCCCAGACUCCUACGGGUGGCAGCAGUUGGGAACAUUGCACAAUGGGUGAAACCCGGAUGUAGCGGCGCCGCGUGGAGGAAGAAGGUCUUAGGAUUGUAAAUUCCUGUGGUAGAGGAAUAUAGUGACGGUACUCAACCAGGAAGUGACGGCUAACUACGUG